rnacentral:rRNA from 1 species
UACACAUGCAAGUCGAACGGCAGCGCGGGGGCAACCCUGGCGGCGAGUGGCGAACGGGUGAGUAAUACAUCGGAACGUGUCCUGGAGUGGGGGAUAGCCCGGCGAAAGCCGGAUUAAUACCGCAUACGCUCUGUGGAGGAAAGCGGGGGAUCUUCGGACCUCGCGCUCAAGGGGCGGCCGAUGGCAGAUUAGCUAGUUGGUGGGGUAAAGGCCUACCAAGGCGACGAUCUGUAGCUGGUCUGAGAGGACGACCAGCCACACUGGGACUGAGACACGGCCCAGACUCCUACGGGAGGCAGCAGUGGGGAAUUUUGGACAAUGGGGGCAACCCUGAUCCAGCAAUGCCGCGUGUGUGAAGAAGGCCUUCGGGUUGUAAAGUACUUUUGUCCGGAAAGAAAACCGCUUCUCUAAUACAGGGGCGGGAUGACGGUACCGGAAGAAUAAGCACCGGCUAACUACGUGCCAGCAGCCGCGGUAAUACGUAGGGUGCAAGCGUUAAUCGGAAUUACUGGGCGUAAAGCGUGCGCAGGCGGUUCGCUAAGACCGAUGUGAAAUCCCCGGGCUUAACCUGGGAACUGCAUUGGUGACUGGCGGGCUAGAGUAUGGCAGAGGGGGGUAGAAUUCCACGUGUAGCAGUGAAAUGCGUAGAGAUGUGGAGGAAUACCGAUGGUGAAGGCAGCCCCCUGGGCCAAUACUGACGCUCAUGCACGAAAGCGUGGGGAGCAAACAGGAUUAGAUACCCUGGUAGUCCACGCCCUAAACGAUGUCAACUAGUUGUCGGGUCUUCAUUGACUUGGUAACGAAGCUAACGCGUGAAGUUGACCGCC